rnacentral:rRNA from 1 species
AUUGAACGCUGGCGGUAUGCUUAACACAUGCAAGUCGAACGUGAAAGGGGGCAACCCCAAGUAAAGUGGCGGACUGGUGAGUAAUACGUAGGAAUCUACCUUAGAGUGGGGGAUAACCCGGGGAAACUCGGGCUAAUACCGCAUAGUCUCUAUGGAGUAAAGGUGGCUAGCAAUAGCUAUCGCUCUAAGAUGAGCUUACGCCGGAUUAGCUAGUUGGUAGGGUAAAGGCCUACCAAGGCUACGAUCCGUAGCUGGUCUGAGAGGACGACCAGCCACACUGGGACUGAGAUACGGCCCAGACUCCUACGGGAGGCAG